rnacentral:rRNA from 1 species
ACUCCUACGGGAGGCAGCAGUGGGGAAUAUUGCACAAUGGGGCGCAAGCCUGAUGCAGCCAUGCCGCGUGUAUGAAGAAGGCCUUCGGGUUGUAAAGUACUUUCAGCAGUGAGGAAGGUGGGUAUGUUAAUAGCAUACUCAUUUGACGUUAGCUGCAGAAGAAGCACCGGCUAACUCCGUGCCAGCAGCCGCGGUAAUACGGAGGGUGCGAGCGUUAAUCGGAAUUACUGGGCGUAAAGCGCAUGCAGGUGGUUUGUUAAGUCAGAUGUGAAAGCCCGGGGCUCAACCUCGGAAUUGCAUUUGAAACUGGCAAACUAGAGUACUGUAGAGGGGGGUAGAAUUUCAGGUGUAGCGGUGAAAUGCGUAGAGAUCUGAAGGAAUACCGGUGGCGAAGGCGGCCCCCUGGACAGAUACUGACACUCAGAUGCGAAAGCGUGGGGAGCAAACAGGAUUAGAUACCCUGGUAGGCGUUG